GACGAACGCUGGCGGCGUGCUUAACACAUGCAAGUCGAACGGAAAGGCCCUGCUUUUGUGGGGUGCUCGAGUGGCGAACGGGUGAGUAACACGUGAGUAACCUGCCCUUGACUUUGGGAUAACUUCAGGAAACUGGGGCUAAUACCGGAUAGGAGCUCCUGCUGCAUGGUGGGGGUUGGAAAGUUUCGGCGGUUGGGGAUGGACUCGCGGCUUAUCAGCUUGUUGGUGGGGUAGUGGCUUACCAAGGCUUUGACGGGUAGCCGGCCUGAGAGGGUGACCGGCCACAUUGGGACUGGGAUACGGCCCAGACUCCUACGGGAGGCAGCAGUGGGGAAUAUUGCACAAUGGGCGGAAGCCUGAUGCAGCAACGCCGCGUGCGGGAUGACGGCCUUCGGGUUGUAAACCGCUUUCGCCUGUGACGAGGCGUGAGUGACGGUAAUGGGUAAAGAAGCACCGGCUAACUACGUG
rnacentral:rRNA from 1 species